ensembl:lncRNA
GGAUCGUUUUGGGGUUCUUAAGCAUACAACCAGUUUUUUAAGUUUUGUGAACUUGGAGGCCAUGCUAAUUUUUUGUUUCUGAAGCAUCUUUGCCUAAAACACAACAAACAGAAAAAGAGAGGAUGCUCUGAGUAUGCUAGUAAAAGCUGGGGUGAAGGAGUAAUACAAUUCAUCAGUAGAAAUACUCAGGAAAGUAAAAAAGAUGUGAAUGCAAAGCAUUUGCCUACCUCUCAACUGUACAGUAUUUUCAAGUUCAGUGCUGCCAGUAUUUCUCAAUUAAGUGAAACGGCUGAUACUGAAGAUUUUGUAUAUGAGUCACUUACUGUCCUACAGUCAAACUGAGAACUCACUGAAACAUGUAUUUGCAUCUCUGAAUUAGUACCUCUGAUCUCACUGGCAGGUUGUCUUCAAAAGAGCAGACAAGUAUCUUCCAAGGUUUUGCUGGCAACAUUGGAGUCUGCAUUGUGCCCCUGGAAGGCUCCUUUCCACAUGCAGGCUCUCUCUGCCUUCACUGUCUUGGUCCCCUAUCCUAAGAGAGAGAUCCUGUUACAGCUUUCAUACCUAUGCCAUUUUUGAGUUAAUAAAAAAUAUUAGAAGCUUAUCCUGACUUAGUCUUGACUUCCAAGGGGCUUAGAAGCACAGGAGAUGAAGGAAGAUGCCUCUGAAAAUCUCUGUUCCAGUCUGAGUCUUGAGAUGGGUCUGAAAGGAGAGUUUUCUUUAUAUUCUGUAGCGUUUUCAGACAUAAAAAUUUCUGUUUCAUACAGUGAUUGGCCAAGAUUGUUCAAGCUGUUCUAUUUGAAUAAAUAAUAUAUACAUUAAGAGACUCUAGAACUCCGACCUGUUGGCAUUCACCUAUGCUGAUGCAACUGUGGGUUAAUCCUUGCUCCAAUUAAAAGAAAAAGGUCAAGAAAAGACUGAGCAGCAGUAGGAGUAAGUGAGUGAAUGUGCUGGACUGGAAUAACCGAGGCUGUGCUUAGGACCCUCACUUACGAUACUUGAAGCCAAAUCCCUGAUCUACCUUGCUCAGAGCCAGACCUGAAUGUAAGCCUCUCUCAUUCAAAGGGAAUAACCUUACUUUCUAAGGUUUUCUUUAUGAAAUCCUGGUAAUACAGAUUUGUUCUGUUCUUUGUAGGGUUUUCUGCUUCUGCUUGCCCUCUAAAGCAAAGGCAUGAAUUCUGAAUUCAUAUUAAUUCUACAAACAUUAAUCCCCAUUAAAAGAGUUAAUGGCUGGACUUAGUCUUUGAUACAGCCCUUAGCGUGGUAAAGUAAUAUACUGAAGUUUAAUAUCCAAACACGGCACGUUUCCUUCCUUUUAAAGUUCUCUUUCUCAUAUUUAGCAGCUCAGUAAUGAGAAUACCUGUACAACAUUAAUACUUUAAUAGUAUUUACUAACAUAAAUAUUUGCUUUCUAGAAGCAAAGUUACACAAAAUUCCUGAACUGCAGUCUAAGCAACUGUUGGAAUGUUUGAGGUAAGAAAGCUGACCUUUGGGAAGAUCAACAUCACAAAAACAGAGUGACCACUGUUUGUAACUUGUGUCCAUAGUGAGGGGGCUUGGAAUGGCAGGAGGGCAAUCAGCGCACACUGUGUCGCUGUGGAACCUCAAUGCAAAGUUCUUGUCGUUAUAAUUACAUUGAUAACAGAAAAUAUUUUGCAUGAAUUUCAGCAUAUCCUUGUACGCUCAAAACAGACAGUUCGCCAAGGUCUUUCUGCAACAGAUAAGGGAAAAUAAAUAGAAAGAGACCUUCAUUUAUACUAAAUGUUAGGAAUUGCAAAACCUGUGUGGAAAGGAAGACUCUUGAGUCAGCUUUGUUUCAAAUGCUGAUGAAGUUAUAUUAACCGCAGCUUGAAAGCAGAGCAAAAAAUGUCUUUGAGAAAUCAUCUUUUCCACAUAAAUUCUACUCCUUCUCCCUCAAAUUAUUAGGUUGCCAGCUAUUAUCCUCAAGUGUUUGAAUUCAACGUGCAUCAUAAAAUACUGUAUCCAUAUAUCCAUGUUGCUGCAGUUGUUACCCGAGUGACAGUCCUGAUAUAUCGCCAAAGCAGCUUUGAUUAGGUGCGUAGAUGACUUUUAAGUGAUUGGCACGUGCAAGAGUGAAGUUUCAGUCUUUCCUCAACUGGAGAUGUUUUUCUAACUGUGGACAAUAUACGAAGUCUUCUAAAGCAGUAAGCCUCCCACAGUUUAUUUUUGGGAUUGCUGUACGCAGGUGAGUGCGGACAUGCGCCUGGGGCAGUCUGGAACAACCAGGUGGUAGAACUUUUCCCAGGGUGAGCUUGUAGUUGAGAAUGGAAAUAGUCUUUGCUUGGUGAUAAUGCCACUUCUCUUACUUCAAUUAUCUGUAUUUUAAGGAUUUUUUUAAUUUAUUUUUAUUUUUUGCAAAGGGUCUUACACUCUCAUAUUUCUUUCCUUAGCAAAGUAGUCCUACUUAGCUAAUUUAUUUUUCGGCUUUAAAACAUCAGCAUUUUAUAGAUCUGAAUUUCACAAUGUGAGGAUGAUUGCUACGUACAAUUUGCAAAAUUGUGAUUAACCAGUCCGUUUCGAGUCAGUUCUCCCUAAUUCACAAAAGGCUUCCAAGAAUAGUCUGCACAAAAUUCAGUGUGCAAAUUGUAGGGCAGAUUUUUAGAGGGCAGUUUAAAGAAUGAAGUCCUAAGGGUUUUAUCUAUAUUUAUAUCUCUUGUUAAACCAAACUCUUAUGUAAAUGUUACAAUCUGUAAAUAACAAGCCGAGCAGCUUUCUUAAAGGAAAAAUUGCAUCCACGUUUUUUGAGAUUUGGCUAAAUUAUUAACUUACACAAUAGACUAAUAUACAAGUAUAUUUGGAAGCUACUAAUGCUAGUCUGUUUCUUCAUCUCUGUUUUAUGGAUAUUUAAAGGUUUAAGAAUACAUAGACCUUUCAUUUUCCAGUAAAAACUGUCUCAAAUUGAAAAACACUGCCCUUAGUGAUGGCUUGAAAAAAUUGAGAUAGCUUUUGUAUACUUUUACUUUUUAUAGCCAUUAAUGUUGUAGUAAAUCUUGUAUUAUUGUAUACAGUCUAGAUUAUUCUUCAUUCUUUUGCCUUUGGACAGGAAAGAAAUUACUGGCUUCCAUCAGUGUUAUUGGCAAUCCCCAUAUUCUGACAUCUGUUCCUUUCUAAACAUUUUACCAACCUUGAUGAAAUGUAGUUUAGUGUUAGAAGCUGACUUGAAGAAAAAAUUGGAUGAUAAAAAAAUAACAUUGAUUAAACACCAGAAGUAAUUUACCAAUGACUAUCAAUAUUUUGAUGGCCACAGCAGUUUAUUUCAGAAAAGCUUGACAUUUUAUAGAAAUUUUAAUCAUAUUUAAUCUUUGAAUUAAGCUGAAUAAAUGAUUUCUCAUUUUUUAAACAGAAGGAUGAGAGACUGAUUUUGCUCAAUUUUAAUCAAACUCUUUGAGCUCUGUUCCUGUGAAUGUUUGGGGCAUAUUUUAUAGAUACCAUAUAAUGUACAUCACUCAAAAAAAAAAGUCUUUUUUUUUUUUUCUUUUAAUACACAGUGGUGAUGUCAUUUGUUGUUUCGCCCUUUGCAUGGAGCUGUGCCAGUGGAAUGCUAGACCUAGAUUUACCUGUGCUGGACCAGGUGCCAGGGUGGGAGGGUCCUGUAGGGCACUUGAAGGACGAACAACAAAGGUGACAAUUGCCUGGUAAGUCACCAAGCUCCAUUAUUAACUGUGCUUCACUAAGGUAAAGCAAAAUAAUAAAUGAUGGGUGUAGUGGCACUUCUACCAAUAGGACUUCAUAGGACUCCAAAGGCUGGUUAUGAUUCCGUUAUCUUGGAGAGUAACUUGAACUUUGAGGCUUCGGGGUAGUUGCUAGAGAUUUGUUUUCUCCAUCUUCACAUGAAAUUUUAAUUUGAAGGGAAAUUUUCCUAACAGCUCUCCUUUAGAAACUCAGCAUUUAGUGUGUAAACAGUUUUCCUUUCAUUUCCAAGAAGUCAUGAAUGGUAGCAGAAACUGAGUGGUCUAGGUUAAAGUGGUGUGUAAGCUGACAGUUUCUGGAUUCCAGUACUCUGUGCUAAUCAUAAAAAAUUCACACAUUUCAGCCGGAGACCUCUCAGCAUGUUUUAUAAAUUCAUCCAAAGAUGAAUGAAUUCUCACGGUUCCUUGCUGAGGAUAUUUAGUAGAGAAAGUAAACAUUAUAGACAAAAUGUCACUUUUUAGAAGUGCAUUGUUUUUCUCAGAGCUGAUUUUCUUCCUGGAAAUACAUUGGCUUCAACUGUGCUCGCGUGUACCCACAAGGUUUGCUGCGUGGUGGUUUGGAGGCAGUGUGGGCAAAGGGGGUGAGCCAAGCUGGGAUCCAGGCCUCUCCUGGGGUUCAGAGUUAAUGACUGAAAAUGGGAGACAGAUCCUGACUCGGUCUUCUUCCAACAGAUGAAACUCAGUUGUUUUGACACAGCUGUGUUUCACACAAACCUUUGGAAUAAUAAUAAUAAAAAUCUGCACUUUAAUUUCCAGCUUGUAGGGGGAAAAAGAAAAAAAAAGAUGGAAGAAGGAAAAUUGUCACUCCGUAGUCACAUUUAUUAUCUCUUGUUCAAGUAUGGAGAAAUGAGGGGAGAGAUUGAGCGGCUUUCCCCGGGUGUCACAGAGCUGACAGCAGGAGCCUCCCCAGGACCUGGGAGCCCAGGCUGACCAAGGCAGUGCUCUAAUUGGUAGAGG